rnacentral:rRNA from 1 species
CCUACGGGGGGCAGCAGUGGGGAAUAUUGGACAAUGGGGGCAACCCUGAUCCAGCCAUGCCGCGUGUGUGAAGAAGGCCCUCGGGUUGUAAAGCACUUUCAGUGAGGAAGAACGCCUGGUGGUUAAUACCCAUCAGGAAAGACAUCACUCACAGAAGAAGCACCGGCUAACUCCGUGCCAGCAGCCGCGGUAAUACGGAGGGUGCGAGCGUUAAUCGGAAUUACUGGGCGUAAAGCGCGCGUAGGUGGCUUGAUAAGCCGGUUGUGAAAGCCCCGGGCUCAACCUGUGAACGGCAUCCGGAACUGUCAAGCUAGAGUGCAGGAGAGGAAGGUAGAAUUCCCGGUGUAGCGGUGAAAUGCGUAGAGAUCGGGAGGAAUACCAGUGGCGAAGGCGGCCUUCUGGACUGACACUGACACUGAGGUGCGAAAGCGUGGGUAGCAAACAGGAUUAGAUACCCUUGUAGUC